UUUAAGACAAUUUAGGUAACAAGGAAAUCAUCGAUACAGAGAAGAUUAGCAUGGCCCCUGCGCAAGGAUGACACGCAAAAUCGUGAAGCGUUCCACAUUUUU